rnacentral:rRNA from 1 species
CAGCAGUAGCCGCGGUAAUACGGAGGGUGCAAGCGUUAAUCGGAAUUACUGGGCGUAAAGCGCACGCAGGCGGUCUGUCAAGUCAGAUGUGAAAUCCCCGGGCUUAACCUGGGAACUGCAUUUGAAACUGGCAGGCUAGAGUCUUGUAGAGGGGGGUAGAAUUCCAGGUGUAGCGGUGAAAUGCGUAGAGAUCUGGAGGAAUACCGGUGGCGAAGGCGGCCCCCUGGACAAAGACUGACGCUCAGGUGCGAAAGCGUGGGGAGCAAACAGGAUUAGAUACCCCAGUAGUCCCUGUCUCUUAUAC